CGUGUAGGCGGCCCGCUAAGUCUGAUGUGAAAGCCCGGGGCUCACCCCCGGAAGGGCAUUGGAAACUGGCGGACUCGAGUCCCGGAGAGGAGGGUGGAAUUCCUGGUGUAGCGGUGAAAUGCGUAGAUAUCAGGAGGAACACCGGCGGCGAAGGCGGCCCUCUGGAUCGUUGCUGACGCUGAUACGCGAAAGCGUGGGGAGCAAACA
rnacentral:rRNA from 1 species